CUCUCUCACUCCUCAAUGCAAGUAGAAAUAGAAACAAUGGCUAAUAAAAAUUGCUGUAAAAGAUAUCCCAAAUCCACUCUAGACCAACAAAGAAGCCAUGACCACCAUCACAACAGCAACAACUGCACCACCGGUCCUGAGCACCGGGGCGGAGCUGGAUCCAGUCCCAGAUGGCCCAGCAGCAGGAGUGUCAGCAGUGAAGCUUGCCACUCCCGGAGCAGGGGCAUCAGCCGGCACCGGGCUCUCUGCACUGGGGAGUGUGGUCGGGCUGUUUGCAACAACGGGUGCAGCAGCCGGGACUGGAACAGCUACCUUCGGCGCCGCUGCUGGUGUUGACACAGUCGUUGCAGCAGCGGUGACAGUGACAGCCAGCUUCUGUCCGGCGCUGCAGUGGCCGGGGAAGGCGCAGAUGUAGUAGUGGGUGCCAGAGGCGACGGUGACAGUGGCCGGGCCAUUGUUGAGGGUGGUGCCGAUCUGGCUGGCAGUCGAGCAGGAGUCGUAGCUGGAUUUCGGCACCUUGGCCA
rnacentral:misc_RNA from 1 species